rnacentral:rRNA from 1 species
UGCAGUCGAACGAUGAUGCCCAGCUUGCUGGGCGGAUUAGUGGCGAACGGGUGAGUAAUACGUGAGUAACCUGCCCUUGACUCUGGGAUAAGCCUGGGAAACUGGGUCUAAUACUGGAUACUACCUCUUACCGCAUGGUGGGUGGUGGAAAGGGUUUUACUGGUUUUGGAUGGGCUCACGGCCUAUCAGCUUGUUGGUGGGGUAAUGGCUCACCAAGGCGACGACGGGUAGCCGGCCUGAGAGGGUGACCGGCCACACUGGGACUGAGACACGGCCCAGACUCCUACGGGAGGCAGCAGUGGGGAAUAUUGCACAAUGGGCGGAAGCCUGAUGCAGCGACGCCGCGUGAGGGAUGACGGCCUUCGGGUUGUAAACCUCUUUCAGUAGGGAAGAAGCGAGAGUGACGGUACCUGCAGAAGAAGCGCCGGCUAACUACGUGCCAGCAGCCGCGGUAAUACGUAGGGCGCAAGCGUUGUCCGGAAUUAUUGGGCGUAAAGAGCUCGUAGGCGGUUUGUCGCGUCUGCUGUGAAAGCCCGGGGCUCAACCCCGGGUCUGCAGUGGGUACGGGCAGACUAGAGUGCAGUAGGGGAGACUGGAAUUCCUGGUGUAGCGGUGAAAUGCGCAGAUAUCAGGAGGAACACCGAUGGCGAAGGCAGGUCUCUGGGCUGUUACUGACGCUGAGGAGCGAAAGCAUGGGGAGCGAACAGGAUUAGAUACCCUGGUAGUCCAUGCCGUAAACGUUGGGCACUAGGUGUGGGGGACAUUCCACGUUUUCCGCGCCGUAGCUAACGCAUUAAGUGCCCCGCCUGGGGAGUACGGCCGCAAGGCUAAAACUCAAAGGAAUUGACGGGGGCCCGCACAAGCGGCGGAGCAUGCGGAUUAAUUCGAUGCAACGCGAAGAACCUUACCAAGGCUUGACAUUCACCGGACCGCCCCAGAGAUGGGGUUUCCCUUCGGGGCUGGUGGACAGGUGGUGCAUGGUUGUCGUCAGCUCGUGUCGUGAGAUGUUGGGUUAAGUCCCGCAACGAGCGCAACCCUCGUUCUAUGUUGCCAGCACGUGAUGGUGGGGACUCAUAGGAGACUGCCGGGGUCAACUCGGAGGAAGGUGGGGAUGACGUCAAAUCAUCAUGCCCCUUAUGUCUUGGGCUUCACGCAUGCUACAAUGGCCGGUACAAAGGGUUGCGAUACUGUGAGGUGGAGCUAAUCCCAAAAAGCCGGUCUCAGUUCGGAUUGAGGUCUGCAACUCGACCUCAUGAAGUCGGAGUCGCUAGUAAUCGCAGAUCAGCAACGCUGCGGUGAAUACGUUCCCGGGCCUUGUACACACCGCCCGUCAAGUCACGAAAGUUGGUAACACCCGAAGCCGGUGGCCUAACCCCUUGUGGGAGGGAGCCGUCGAA